CUUACCAUGUGGUGGAAGUUCCUGUUUGGUUUGACUAUAAGUACUAAAUGUCUAGGAUACACACUACAAAAAAUCUUCCUAUUCACAGUUGUGGAGUAUGAUAAUUCGUGCUUCGUGCUCUUCCAAUCUUCCCAAUGAAGUUCCUGGUAUUCCUUGUGUUGAUUUGUGCCUCUACUAUCCUGGUAUUUUGUUUUCCCUCUGGAAGGAAAUCAGUUGAUGAAAGCAACUAUGUGGCUGAAGAACAACUCAUUAGGACUGUGAAAGGCAAAGGAUCUUCUCAGGAACCAGAAGACUCACAAGAAAGUUCUAUGAACAGUGGUGGCAAUGUGUUUGAUCGUGCUGAGAUGGUACUCCGGGGGAUCAUAGAUUGUU
ensembl:lincRNA Gm6135 prediticted gene 6135